rnacentral:rRNA from 1 species
AUUGAACGCUGGCGGCAGGCCUAACACAUGCAAGUCGAGCGAGCGGCGGACGGGUGAGUAAUGUAUGGGGACUGCCCGAUAGCGGGGGAUAACUACUGUAAACGGUAGCUAAUACCGCAUACUAUCGGAUCACCCAUAGGGGAUUAGCUAGUAGGUGAGGUAAUGGCUCACCUAGGCGACGAUCCCUAGCUGGUCUGAGAGGAUGAUCAGCCACACUGGGACUGAGAAACGGCCCAGACGCCUACGGAGGCAGCAGGGGGGAAUAUUGAACAAUGGGCGGAAGCCUGAUGCAGCCAUGCCGCGUGUAUGAAGAAGGCCAUAGGGUUGUAAAGUACUGUGAGUCGGGAGGCGUUACCGACAGAAGAAGAACCGGCUAACUCCGUGCCAGCAGCCGAGGUAAUAC